rnacentral:rRNA from 1 species
GCAUAUCAAUAAGCGGAGGAAAAGAAACCAACAGGGAUUGCCUCAGUAACGGCGAGUGAAGCGGCAAAAGCUCAAAUUUGAAACCCUCGGGAUUGUAAUUUGAAGAUUUGGCAUUGGAGAAAGCUAACCCAAGUUGCUUGGAAUAGUACGUCAUAGAGGGUGACAACCCCGUCUGGCUAACCGUUCUCCAUGUAUUGCCUUAUCAAAGAGUCGAGUUGUUUGGGAAUGCAGCUCAAAGUGGGUGGUAAACUCCGUCUAAAGCUAAAUACUGGUGAGAGACCGAUAGCGAACAAGUACUGUGAAGGAAAGGUGAAAAGAACUUUGAAAAGAGAGUGAAAUAGUAUGUGAAAUUGUUGAUAGGGAAGGAAAUGAGUGGAGAGUGGCCGAGGUUUCAGCCGCCCCUCGUGGGCGGUGUACUGCCGACGCCGAGUCAUCGAUAGCGAGACGAGGGUUACAAAUGGGAGCGCCUUCGGGCAUUCUCCCCUAACCCUCCACACUGCCACCGACGACAUAAUCCACCCAUUUCACCCGUCUUGAAACACGGACC